rnacentral:rRNA from 1 species
GGGGUGCUCGAGUGGCGAACGGGUGAGUAACACGUGAGUAACCUGCCCUUGACUUUGGGAUAACUUCAGGAAACUGGGGCUAAUACCGGAUAAGAGCUCCUGCUGCAUGGUGGGGGUUGGAAAGUUUCGGCGGUUGGGGAUGGACUCGCGGCUUAUCAGCUUGUUGGUGGGGUAGUGGCUUACCAAGGCUUUGACGGGUAGCCGGCCUGAGAGGGUGACCGGCCACAUUGGGACUGAGAUACGGCCCAG